rnacentral:rRNA from 1 species
UACAGAGGUCUCAAGCGUUGUCCGGAUUCAUUGGGCGUAAAGGGUUCGUAGGCGGCGCCACAAGUCAGCUGUGAAAUCUCGGGGCUCAACCCCGAAACUGCACUUGAUACUGUGGUGCUGGAGUACUGGAGAGGAGAUUGGAAUUUACGGUGUAGCAGUGAAAUGCGUAGAUAUCGUAAGGAAGACCAGUGGCGAAGGCGAAUCUCUGGACAGAUACUGACACUGAGGCACGAAGGCCAGGGGAGCAAACGGG